CAAACCCCUUUGUAUCUUACUCUUCCCAGCUCCUUUGUGUGUCUCUUUCCCCCCAGACUCCUCUGUGUUUCUCCCUCACAAGUGACUCUGUGUGUCUCUCUGUCUCCCAUACAAGCCCCUCUGUGCUUCUCUUUCACCCCUUCCUCCAUUUCUGGGUUGCCAAACCAUCUCAAAGGCAACAUAGCUAAUCUGGCAAAUAGCAAUUUACAAAAACAGAAAUUGGCAAAUCUUAUGUUUGACCCUGUGACUUUCCAAAUCACCAUAAAACCUGUACUCGAGGGGUACUGUUGUACUCAUGAGACAUUACUCUACAC